UCGAACGAAUUACCUUCGGGUAGUUAGUGGCGCACGGGUGCGUAACGCGUGGGAAUCUACCCCUUGGUUCGGAAUAACAGUUGGAAACGACUGCUAAUACCGGAUGAUGACGUAAGUCCAAAGAUUUAUCGCCGAGGGAUGAGCCCGCGUAGGAUUAGGUAGUUGGUGUGGUAAAGGCGCACCAAGCCGACGAUCCUUAGCUGGUCUGAGAGGAUGAUCAGCCACACUGGGACUGAGACACGGCCCAGACUCCUACGGGAGGCAGCAGUGGGGAAUAUUGGACAAUGGGCGAAAGCCUGAUCCAGCAAUGCCGCGUGAGUGAUGAAGGCCUUAGGGUUGUAAAGCUCUUUUACCCGGGAUGAUAAUGACAGUACCGGGAGAAUAAGCUCCGGCUAACUCCGUGCCAGCAGCCGCGGUAAUACGGAGGGAGCUAGCGUUAUUCGGAAUUACUGGGCGUAAAGCGCACGUAGGCGGCUUUGUAAGUAAGAGGUGAAAGCCCAGAGCUCAACUCUGGAAUUGCCUUUUAGACUGCAUCGCUUGAAUCAUGGAGAGGUCAGUGGAAUUCCGAGUGUAGAGGUGAAAUUCGUAGAUAUUCGGAAGAACACCAGUGGCGAAGGCG
rnacentral:rRNA from 1 species